rnacentral:rRNA from 1 species
GACCAGACUCCUACGGGAGGCAGCAGUGGGGAAUAUUGGGCAAUGGAGGCAACUCUUACCCAGCAAUGCCGCGUGAAUGAAGAAGGUCUUCGGAUUGUAAAGUUCUUUAAUUGGGGACGAAAAAAAUGACGGUACCUGAAGAAGAAGCCCCGGCUAACUACGUGCCAGCAGCCGCGGUAAUACGUAGGGGGCAAGCGUUAUCCGGAUUUACUGGGUGUAAAGGGGGCGCAGACGGCGAUGCAAGCCAGGAGUGAAAGCCCGGGGCCCAACCCCGGGACUGCUCUUGGAACUGCGUGGCUGGAGUGCAGGAGGGGCAGGCGGAAUUCCUGGUGUAGCGGUGAAAUGCGUAGAUAUCAGGAGGAACACCGGUGGCGAAGGCGGCCUGCUGGACUGCAACUGACGUUGAGGCCCGAAAGCGUGGGGAGCAAACAGGAUUAGAUACCCCCGUACC